AUUGAACGCUGGCGGCAUGCUUUACACAUGCAAGUCGAACGGUAACAGGCCGCAAGGUGCUGACGAGUGGCGAACGGGUGAGUAAUGCAUCGGAACGUGCCCAGUCGUGGGGGAUAACUACUCGAAAGAGUAGCUAAUACCGCAUACGAUCUAUGGAUGAAAGCGGGGGACCGUAAGGCCUCGCGCGAUUGGAGCGGCCGAUGUCAGAUUAGGUAGUUGGUGGGGUAAAGGCUCACCAAGCCUACGAUCUGUAGCUGGUCUGAGAGGACGACCAGCCACACUGGGACUGAGACACGGCCCAGACUCCUACGGGAGGCAGCAGUGGGGAAUUUUGGACAAUGGGCGCAAGCCUGAUCCAGCAAUGCCGCGUGCAGGAAGAAGGCCUUCGGGUUGUAAACUGCUUUUGUACGGAACGAAACGGCUCUGGUUAAUACCCGGGGCUAAUGACGGUACCGUAAGAAUAAGCACCGGCUAACUACGUG
rnacentral:rRNA from 1 species